GGGGCUGACCGGUAUUGACAGCAUCGUUCUUUGUAAAUCAGCAUGCAGAGCAUUGCAGGGCAAGCUCUUUAAUAUCUAUCCUGCGACGCCAUAACUGGCAACACUUCUUUUGCAAUGGCUGCCUAAUCACGCAAAGCGUGAUCGCGCCUGCUUCCGUUAGUCCCUGUCCGGCGGAUUAACACCGGAAGCAUCAUUCAUCCGGACUAGCUCAAGGCUGGCUGCUUGCUGCGAGUAAGAUCCCUACAGCAGAUAGGGACAAGGUUCGGUUUGUUUAUCACCUGCCUCGUUCAGAAAAACAAGAUAAACUAAGCAUGUAGAACGUUUACUUAAAUGUUGCCUGGACGCGGGUUCAAUUCCCGCCAGCUCCAC
rnacentral:tmRNA from 1 species